rnacentral:rRNA from 1 species
UACGUAGGGGGCAAGCGUUGUCCGGAAUCAUUGGGCGUAAAGCGCGUGUAGGCGGUUACGUAAGUCUGCUGUGAAAGUCGGAGGCUCAACCUUCGAAAGCCGGUGGAUACUGCGUGACUAGAGUACGGAAGAGGAGAGUGGAAUUCCUGGUGUAGCGGUGGAAUGCGCAGAUAUCAGGAGGAACACCAAUAGCGAAGGCAGCUCGCUGGGACGUUACUGACACUGAGGCGCGAAAGCGUGGGGAGCGAACAGG